CCUCUGUUGUAACUUCUGAAACUCCUUGAAAAUGUUUCAAUUUAAUCUCCCUUCUUCACCAAAGUCUCAGUAAAUUUCCCAGGGCAGUCAUCCAGAAAAAAUCUCCUAGGAUGCGUACUUCUUUAAUACCAGAGCCCCCCUCCCACAAAUUUUCAAAUUCUACACCUACUGGUCCAUAAAUAGCUCCAGGAAUGUACAGAAUCUAAAGCCAUGAAUCCCUCUACCGGUGACAGGGCAACUGAGGCGAUAGGCACCUCUCUGGUCUAUACAACUGCCAUCCAUCUGCUGAACCCUACUGUUCCUCUUGCGAUUGCACAAGUCAAGAUUCAGCUUCCUUGGUGACUAAGAAGCAGAAAGCCAGUAGUGUUCCUUCAAUGUCAACAUUUGCCAUACCUGUUCUAGAAUGGUAAGCGUCUGUUGAUUGAAGAGGUUAGGGAUCCUUCUCUUUCUUCCCACUUAGUUUAGGGAAAAUAAGAGGGAGCAUUAAAGUUUUUUGUUGUUUUCUUUUCCCUGUGAUUCUUGAAAAAGUGUUAAUUGUUUAAAUCCUCUCCAUUUAGAGAGGAAAAAAAAAAAGUUCCUGGAAGGACAAUAUUAGUCAUUAUGCUGGGACCACACACAUAAACCAGGAUUGUCCCAGGCAAACCAGAGCACAUGGCCGCACUGUAUGUAAGGAUCAUCAAUUUAUGUUAAUAGCAUCAUGGCAAAGUAUAAUUCAGUGCACGCAAUUCUAUAAUGAACAGGUGGGAGAGGCGGGUUGGACAAUAUAAUGCACUUUAGAAGUUUUUUUCUCUGCUGACUUAAAGAAAAGGUAGAUUUUGAAGAAUCCUCUCUAAUCAAUAUGCACAGUAUCUUUCAGGCAGUCCUCCAUCAGUAUACUUUUUCUCUGCUGAGUUUUGAAAACAGCUUCUGGGAGUUCAAGAUGAUAUUUCUUGAAAACUACUUGGAUUGAAGCUAUUCCAGAUUCACAGGUAAAUGAAGUAUCUCCCUCUUUAAUAAUCAAAUAUUAUAAAAUACAGACUGACAUUUUUAAAAAGAAACAUAAGGAUACUAACACACUGGUAUAGGAG
rnacentral:lncRNA from 1 species